GGACGGGUGAGUAAUGCAUAGGAAUCUGCCCUGUAGUGGGGGAUAACCUGGGGAAACCCAGGCUAAUACCGCAUACGUCCUACGGGAGAAAGGGGGCUUCGGCUCCCGCUACGGGAUGAGCCUAUGUCGGAUUAGCUAGUUGGUGAGGUAACGGCUCACCAAGGCGACGAUCCGUAGCUGGUCUGAGAGGAUGAUCAGCCACAUCGGGACUGAGACACGGCCCGAACUCCUACGGGAGGCAGCAGUGGGGAAUAUUGGACAAUGGGGGGAACCCUGAUCCAGCCAUGCCGCGUGUGUGAAGAAGGCCUUCGGGUUGUAAAGCACUUUCAGCGAGGAAGAACGCCUAGUGGUUAAUACCCAUUAGGAAAGACAUCACUCGCAGAAGAAGCACCGGCUAACUCCGUGCCAGCAGCCGCGGUAAUACGGAGGGUGCAAGCGUUAAUCGGAAUUACUGGGCGUAAAGCGCGCGUAGGUGGCUUGAUAAGCCGGUUGUGAAAGCC
rnacentral:rRNA from 1 species